UUCCACCGCGGCCGUGGGAAUGGACACAUCUUUUUCCCACGUGCGAAAAGCCAGCCGGCCAUGACAACGAACACAUCCACCACCACAACCGCAACUGUGGCACGCUCUAUCUCCUCCUUUACGGACCCUCAUCAUUUCCCCUCUCACAACCACAUUAUAAGGAUGGCCUCGGCCAGUCAAGGGCAUUUUGAUGCUUACGAGGCACUGGAUCUUACAGAAUUUGCCAAAAAACAGCCUUGGUGGCGCAAGCUUUUCGGGCAGGAGAGUCGGUCUGCAGGUGAGAAGUACAGUGUGGCAACCCAGCUCCUUAUUGGAGGUGUCACUGGCUGGUGCACUGGCUUCAUAUUCCAGAAAGUUGGAAAGCUGGCUGCCACAGCAGUGGGAGGGGGCUUUUUUCUCCUCCAGCUUGCAAACCACACUGGCUACAUCAAAGUUGACUGGAGUCGAGUAGAGAAGGACAUGAAAAAGGCCAAGGAGCAGCUGACAAUUCGGAAGAGCGCCCAAAUACCAACUGAAGUCAAGAGCAAAGCUGAGGAGGUGGUGUGCUUUGUGAAGAAGAAUGUUUUAGUAACUGGAGGAUUUUUUGGAGGCUUUCUGCUCGGUAUGGCAUCCUAAGGGUAUCGCUUCACUUCCACUGUUCACCAGCCUCAACACUCCAUCGUAGGAAACUCCAGACUCUUCUUCCUCUUCAGGCCCUCCUCUCUGUUGUAAAUCUGAACCGAUUCCAUAGGCAUCUUGCCCAUGCAAAUUUACACAGGCUCUCCCAUGGCCUUGACAAGCAAAGUGGGAAGCAUGUUUUCCAUCUGGAGGCCAACAAGAAUGGUCCUUUUCCCGUAUGUAAAAUCUGUCCUAAAACAUGUUUUAAGAUCGGUCCCUAACAGUUGAGCUCGAAGAGGGAUGCACAAUUACCUUACUAUGCUCUUCAUGGGAAGGAACUGAAUAUAUCUGUCUUUGAGCACGGGAAGAAAGAAAACCCAGUUUUGGGAGUACCAUGCACUAGCCAGCUAUUUUAGGGGGACAGUCUCCUUACAGAAUUUUACAAGUAAACUGAUUGAUGCCUUCUUUUCUUCUUGACAGCUAUCCCAGUAAUAUAAUGAUAGUAGUUAUCUUAGUUAAGAACUCAGAAGUAUGUCACUUCAAAAACGGCCAUAACAUAAAUACUACGACCUAUUUCUUGGGUCCCUUUUUAGGGGGGUGGUUGGGGUGCGCCUAGGGCCUUGCUCAUACUAGGCAACGGCUACUCCACAGCUAUACUCUUAGCUUUUUGGGUUCUUUAUAUUUUGAGAGAAGAUCCUACUAAAUUACUCAGGCUGGCCGAGUACUGACAUCCUCCUGUAUCAGCUUCCUGAAGAGGUGGGAUUACAGGCCCAAGCCACCAGGAACAACUGCCCCAGGACCUUAAGAAAGAACUGAAGAACACAUCGCUGAGUCUACUUUGCCCCUUCUCAACAUUCUCAUUUGCCUUUUCCUCCAGGAAUAGGUUGCAAGAACCUACAUAGUUUGGUUUCCUGCAUCAGGGCCUCAUCUUCUUCAAUCCAAUAUCAGCUGGGUGAAAUUUUCUUCUAGAAGCUUCAGUGGAGAAGAAUCUGCUUUCGGGCUCAUAGGUUUGGGGUACAAUUUAUAUACAUGCAACUACAGGAGUUAUUCAUAUUUGGUCCUUUGUCAGCAAAGGACAAGCUCAGCACUGGGAUGCUAUCCGCAGUUCUUCAUUUUACACUGACUGUGCUCUCCAUAUAAGUAAAAAACUACAGACUUCCUUUCUUCAGGGCCCGGUGGAGAGAAAAAGAAAAAGAAAAAGAGAAAGAGAAAG